CUAUCGACAAAGUGUUCAUCGAUGGAUGAAUUUUUUGAAAAGGGGGUGAAAAUUUUGCUCGAAUCACCCUUAAAUGAGAGUGUGUGCGUGGCUCGCUGUAUCGCGAUAGAGUUCGGCGUGUGUCGAAUGAAUGUUCAAAAAGGUCGUAGUAGGCUAAAAAUCUGUUUUUCUGUUUUCGCUCGGUCGCUGUACAUUUUCAUACGGGAAUAGUUCGUGAAUUGUGGAUUGUGUCAGUUCGUGGACUGUGUAUUCGUUUGUAGAAUAGUGUUUGCCAAGUUGUUCCAGUUCUAGUUCUAAAAGGAUAUUCCUGUGACGGCACUGGUAAGUUGUACCGCCAGCGUGAUAACCUGUUAGAGCAGACUUCGGCUGAAUACGACGAUGCAGAGGCAGGACAAACUGUUUCAAGACAUUUGAAGAGCAACGCGUGGGAACAUAUGGCCACAGUUGCCGGUCCUCAUAUCUAGAGGUUUUUGUGUACACAAACUCAGGAAGCAGGAAGGAUCAAGAAGCUGGAUUCAAGUGCCGUAGUGUGAAAUACUUCGUCAAAGGAGAAAAGCGCGUGUUUUCUAACAACUGUGCCCACGCGUCCCUUUGGCCUACUGCUUCAAAGGUAGGCUACCCUCUACAAUCAAUGCCAUGGCGUCUAACGCGGUCGGUUGAACAUUCUGCAUCCUCUUCCUCUUACAGCUGACUCAUACUUCUUGUUGGUCGCCCUCGAAUACGGCGUAUGAAUUGACGGCCACAUCUUUUUCGCAUCAUUUGAAAGGAACAAAUUAUUGGACAUGCUCGUGAUUAUCCAGUUCUAUGAUGCACCUGCCAAUGGAAGUGAAAGACAAGCCAACCUUAGUAUUGGUUGUUUUUGCUGCUGAUCGGUUCUAAAUCGGAUACUGGAAACCGCUGCUGUUAGUGCUCUGCAUUGGAUUUUUUCUUCGCUUUGCUCACAGUGCGUGACCUUGGUUUGUUGUGGCAAUCUAUCAGUCAAUUAACAGUCCCUUCAGGCAAAAGACGUUCAGUCCUCCGUACACAUCUGAUUUCAUAUGAAUUCCGCCUCAAAAAAGGAGACAAUGUUCUAUCUGCGCCUAGCACACCUCACGGUUUGUGACGGACAAAGCUUGCCUUUGAUCCUCCGUCUAGGAUAAUAUACUGCGCCAAAGUUGAAGGAAUCGCCAUUCGAUACGAUAUUAUUAUUGGUUGGAACCUUGGUUUCCGUCGUUUCUUAUGGAUACAAAAUGGAGUGAAAGAUGCAAAAAAUCGCGUGUUAAUGCGGUCAAAAUGAAAUCGAGAUCGCACACGAUACCAAACUCAAAGGCACGAUGUUAGUUUAUUUCGAAACGCACUGAAAGUUCCAUUGAAAAUUUUCGCCUGGACCUAUUUGAUUGAUACAGGAUAUGAAUCUCUUCGAAACUUAAUCUUGGAAGGGGGAAAAUAUCCACGUUUAUGUAUUGUUUACGCUGCACCGAUCGAAACUAGCCGCGUGAUUAUGAAAAACGAUAACAUAUCGUGGGCGGAAUCAUGUGGAACAGGAUUAGAAAUCCCUGGCUAAGCUGGCGCAGAGUACGAGCGUUGAAAAUUGUACGCUGUCUGGAUGGAAGGGUAUG